AAGCGUUGUCCGGAAUUACUGGGCGUAAAGGGUGCGUAGGCGGCAUUACAAGUCUAAUGUAAAAUCCCCGUGCUUAACAUGGGGUUUGCAAUAGAAACUGUAAAGCUAGAGUGCAGGAGAGGUAAGUGGAAUUCCUAGUGUAGCGGUGAAGUGCAUAGAUAUUAGGAGGAACACCAGUGGCGAAGGCGACUUACUGGACUGUAACUGACGCUGAAGCACGAAAGCAUGGGGAGC
rnacentral:rRNA from 1 species